CGAUUAAAACUCAUAAUUGAUCAAUCAAGAUCAUUCAGUUAAAUUUAAACACUUUCAUGCUAUGAAAGCAUCAUUGCUGAUGUAACAAAAUGCUUAAUGAUAUGUUAACAUCAUAAAAUCUACCUUGAUAGGGUUCUUGCCAGUGAUCACCCUAUUCCUUCAAGACAAAUCACAAAGACCACAUUCAAGGAAGAAAACUUCCCUCUUUCAGCAUAU
rnacentral:lncRNA from 1 species